GUAGAGUUACCAACCAGAGCAAUUUAAAAUGAUAUAUAGUUAUUUUUGACUCCUCUCCUGUCGAGGGAGAACUUCAUAAAUGAUGUCACAAUAAACGGAAUGUGGGAGAAACCUCAGACAUAAAAUGUGUAAGGGCAGAGACCGUGGGAGGAAGAGAAAGAUCAUCGCUGGGGCUCCCAAGCGCUAAUGAAUUAACAGGGAAACGGUGUUAAUGAGUUCCGAGGAGGGGUUGUUGUCAGAGGUUUCGAGAUGUUUGUGGGCAUCACCAAAAUCAAGGAUGUGAAAUGAUCUUUUAAACUCCAGAGGUCUCUGGAAAACUGAUAAGACCCUCUAUGCAGUCCUUGAACAGCCGUUGGAGUUCAAAAUUGCUGCCCAAUUUAUUUAGGUGAGAUCUUACUGUCAACAGGGAACGCUGGUUGUCCAAGCCCCACAACAUUCGACGUGUCUCCCGAUCACCAAGGCUUUCUCCAGCACAUCUCUUGUUUCUUUCCUUAAAAACCUGCUCGGCAACCACAGCAUGCCAGAGUCCAUGCUGGGAGUGUGACGUUGGAGACCAAAGCCAGAAGUAGUCUCAAGGAGCUUUCAGCCCAGAAGGGAGGCUAAUACUUGGCAAUGACCUCUCUUAUGGACCUUGGUCGUUAUGGAUAAUUGUCCUGUCUCAGUGCCUAUUUCACUUGGUCACCUUCCUUAACAUCCAGAUGAAUGUCUCUCUUUAAAUUUCUGUCUUGUCUUUGAAAACUUCCCCAGUUGCACAAAGACCAGAAAACCAGCCUCACCCUUGAGUCCUUGGUGGAUGUUGUGUAAACCUCCAUGGAAGUGCUCUCCCAUUUUACUGUCUUUGUCUCGUUGUCUGCUUGUUGCGCAGAGUGGCUUAUCUACACCAAGAGAACAGAUCUCAGGGCCUGGACCAGAGCAGAUAUAAUACUUGGGGGCAUUACAGCAAGUGAGGAAGCAGCUGAACCAAUCUUGUGACCCAGAUUGGAAACCAGGAAGUCCAAGCCAGGCAGUGGACAAAGAAACUGAGGCUCAUAAAACUAAAAGGUUACUUCUCCAAGGUUGCACAGGAUUGUAGUGAGAGAGGUUGUGUUUGAAUCCAGAGUGUUUGGACUCCAUAGUCCACAGUCGUUCACACGAGGCUGUACUGCAUUCCAGUGAGACUGAAGACAAUAUAGAGGGCCGACCUCAUG